rnacentral:rRNA from 1 species
AAGUGGCGAACGGGUGAGAACACGUGAGCAACCUGCCCCGGACUCUGGGAUAACAGUUGGAAACAGCUGCUAAUACCGGAUACGAGCUGCGAUCGCAUGGUCAGCAGCUGGAAAGAUUUUUCGGUCUGGGAUGGGCUCGCGGCCUAUCAGCUAGUUGGUGAGGUAAUGGCUCACCAAGGCGUCGACGGGUAGCCGGCCUGAGAGGGUGACCGGCCACACUGGGACUGAGACACGGCCCAGACUCCUACGGGAGGCAGCAGUGGGGAAUAUUGCACAAUGGGCGGAAGCCUGAUGCAGCAACGCCGCGUGAGGGACGACGGCCUUCGGGUUGUAAACCUCUUUUAGCAGGGAAGAAGCGAAAGUGACGGUACCUGCAGAAAAAGCGCCGGCUAACUACGUGCCAGCAGCCGCGGUAAUACGUAGGGCGCAAGCGUUAUCCGGAAUUAUUGGGCGUAAAGAGCUCGUAGGCGGUUUGUCGCGUCUGCUGUGAAAACCCGAGGCUCAACCUCGGGCCUGCAGUGGGUACGGGCAGACUAGAGUGCGGUAGGGGAGAUUGGAAUUCCUGGUGUAGCGGUGGAAUGCGCAGAUAUCAGGAGGAACACCGAUGGCGAAGGCAGAUCUCUGGGCCGUAACUGACGCUGAGGAGCGAAAGGGUGGGGAGCAAACAGGCUUAGAUACCCUGGUAGUCCACCCCGUAAACGUUGGGAACUAGUUGUGGGGGCCAUUCCACGGUCUCCGUGACGCAGCUAACGCAUUAAGUUCCCCGCCUGGGGAGUACGGCCGCAAGGCUAAAACUCAAAGGAAUUGACGGGGACCCGCACAAAGCGGCGGAGCAUGCGGAUUAAUUCGAUGCAACGCGAAA